AUGAAAAGAAUGAGAUGAGCGAAAAGGGAUGGGGAGGACGGGACGAUUCAUUCAUUUUGCAGGGCUCAUAUGUUCUGAAAGGUGCUGCUUUGGCAGCAAAAGUUUCCUUUGACAUACAACUGAUCCCCUGAAAUGGUUGCCCAUUCAGCAGAAGUGAUGGGACAAUUCCUGUCGUCUGCAGAUUGGGUAAUGUUAAGGGAGAGAGUGGAGGAAGAGCUGUCACUGGCUGAAAAAUCUGAUAUCACCUGAAGAGGUAGGUUGUUUUAUUGAUUUCCAUCCACUUCCUCCUGAUCAUUGUCAAUGUCACUCAUGCUGUCACCCAGGUGGCUGUUUUGAUUAUCAUUACCAUUAUAUGUGGUAUACCACUCUCUAUUGUUAUCUCCUCCGUUGUCUUUACUGCAAAAUAGCAGUAAUUAAAUGUAAAAGUAUUAUCAACAUCAUACAAAUGUUGGUCCUCUGACACACUGCUGAUGUGUAGCUUGAUCAACAGCAUUAACCACAGUGAGUAAGUGAAAUAGAUCUAACUUGCUUAUUGAUCCCGCAAGUUAAAACUAAUUUGCCUGCCAGGUUGAUCAGGCCGAGUUGUGAACAGUGGGUGGAUCAAUUGACCCUCCUCUAGUUGAGUUCAUGCCGUACUCGGACAGCUUAACAGCUUUGAGUUUACUCUGUUCCAGCUCUGCUCUUUUUUUUUUUUUUUUUGUCUUUAUUCGUUUCUUGUGUGUCCUGUCCUCGUUUAGUGUAUCUUUUUAUGCAUUUUUAUUCACCUUAGGUUUUUAGCCUGUUACCAGAAACUUUGAUGCAACUACCUGAGUUUCUCGACUGUCAUAAGUAAUUCCCUGCAUGCUUAAAUUACCAAAGUCUAAGUUUGUUAUUUUGUGUAGUUCAUUAAAGUGACUCUUGAAGAUAAUAUCGGCUGGCCAGUGAAAUUAUUUAUUGUUGCGAAUUAAUCUGCACUAAAGCUAACUCCGAAUGCCAGACGGGCUGACCCGAACCAUCUUCUGAGCCCGCGUUUGCCACAAGGUUCCAAGAGAGGAGUGCUGAGGGAUCCAUUCGGGUGCUGGUGGUGUGUGCUUGUGAGACAUCCGUUUGGCUGACAACUACCAGCUGAUUCC